rnacentral:rRNA from 1 species
AGAGUUUGAUCAUGGCUCAGAACGAACGCUGGCGGCGUGCCUAACACAUGCAAGUCGAGCGAGAAAGGGGCUUCGGCCCCGAGUACAGCGGCGAACGGGUGCGUAACACGUGGAUAAUCUGCCUUCGGGCCCGGAAUAACCUUCCGAAAGGAGGGCUAAUGCCGGAUGAGCUCACGGGUCCUCCGGGACCUGCGGGAAAAGGUGGCCUCUGCUUGCAAGCUACCACCCGGAGAUGAGUCCGCGGCCCAUCAGCUAGUUGGCGGGGUAAUGGCCCACCAAGGCGACGACGGGUAGCUGGUCUGAGAGGACGAUCAGCCACACUGGGACUGAGACACGGCCCAGACUCCUACGGGAGGCAGCAGUGGGGAAUCUUGCGCAAUGGGCGAAAGCCUGACGCAGCAACGCCGCGUGAGCGAUGAAGGUCCUUGGAUCGUAAAGCUCUUUCGGCUGGGAAGAAACGCCCGGUGGCGAAUACCCAUCGGGUUUGACGGUACCAGCAGAAGAAGCACCGGCUAACUCUGUGCCAGCAGCCGCGGUAAUACAGAGGGUGCAAGCGUUGUUCGGAAUUAUUGGGCGUAAAGCGAGUGUAGGCGGGAUGGCAAGUCGGAUGUGAAAGCCCACGGCUCAACCGUGGAAGUGCGUUCGAAACUGCCGUUCUUGAGUGUCGGAGAGGGUGGCGGAAUUCCCGGUGUAGAGGUGAAAUUCGUAGAUAUCGGGAGGAACACCAGUGGCGAAGGCGGCCACCUGGACGAACACUGACGCUGAGACUCGAAAGCGUGGGGGAGCAAACAGGAUUAGAUACCCUGGUAGUCCACGCCGUAAACGAUGAAUGCUAGCUGUUGCGGGUAUUGACCCCUGCAGUGGCGAAGCCAACGCAUUAAGCAUUCCGCCUGGGAAGUACGGCCGCAAGGCUAAAACUCAAAUGAAUUGACGG